rnacentral:rRNA from 1 species
UAGGGAAUCUUCGGCAAUGGGGGCAACCCUGACCGAGCAACGCCGCGUGAGUGAAGAAGGUUUUCGGAUCGUAAAGCUCUGUUGUAAGAGAAGAACGUGUGUGAGAGUGGAAAGUUCACACAGUGACGGUAACUUACCAGAAAGGGACGGCUAACUACGUGCCAGCAGCCGAGGUAAUACAUAGGUCCCGAGCGUUGUCCGGAUUUAUUGGGCGUAAAGCGAGCGCAGGCGGUUUAAUAAGUCUGAAGUUAAAGGCAGUGGCUUAACCAUUGUUCGCUUUGGAAACUGUUAAACUUGAGUGCAGAAGGGGAGAGUGGAAUUCCAUGUGUAGCGGUGAAAUGCGUAGAUAUAUGGAGGAACACCGGUGGCGAAAGCGGCUCUCUGGUCUGUAACUGACGCUGAGGCUCGAAAGCGUGGGGAGCAAACAGG